GAGUUUGAUCCUGGCUCAGGAGCGAACGCUAGCGGCAGGCUUAACACAUGCAAGUCGAGCGGGCACCUUCGGGUGUCAGCGGCAGACGGGUGAGUAACACGUGGGAACGUACCCUUCGGUUCGGAAUAACGCUGGGAAACUAGCGCUAAUACCGGAUACGCCCUUUUGGGGAAAGGUUUACUGCCGAAGGAUCGGCCCGCGUCUGAUUAGCUAGUUGGUGGGGUAAUGGCCUACCAAGGCGACGAUCAGUAGCUGGUCUGAGAGGAUGAUCAGCCACACUGGGACUGAGACACGGCCCAGACUCCUACGGGAGGCAGCAGUGGGGAAUAUUGGACAAUGGGCGCAAGCCUGAUCCAGCCAUGCCGCGUGAGUGAUGAAGGCCUUAGGGUUGUAAAGCUCUUUUGUCCGGGGCGAUAAUGACGGUACCGGAAGAAUAAGCCCCGGCUAACUUCGUG
rnacentral:rRNA from 1 species